AUUGAACGCUGGCGGCAGGCCUAACACAUGCAAGUCGAACGAGUGGCGGACGGGUGAGUAAUGUCUGGGCAACUGCCCGAGGGAGGGGGAUAACUACUGGAAACGGUAGCUACUACCGAAUCACAUCGGCUGUGCCCAGAUGGGAUUAGCUAGUAGGUGGGGUAACGGCUCACCUAGGCGACGAUCCCGAGCUGGUCUGCGAGGAUGACCAGCCACACUGGAACUGAGAAACGGUCCAGACUCCACCGGGAGGCAGCAGUGGGGAAUAUUGCACAAUGGGCGCAAGCCUGAUCCAGCCAUGCCGCGUGUAUGAAGAAGGCCUUCGGGUUGUAAAGUACUUUCAGCGAGGAGGCGUUACUCGCAGAAGAAGCACCGGCUAACUCCGUGCCAGCAGCCGCGGUAAUAC
rnacentral:rRNA from 1 species